CCUACGGGGGGCAGCAGUGGGGAAUAUUGCACAAUGGGGGAAACCCUGAUGCAGCGACGCCGCGUGCAGGAAGACGGCUCUAUGAGUUGUAAACUGCUUUUGUACGAGGGUAAACGCAGAUACGCGUAUCUUUCUGAAAGUAUCGUACGAAUAAGGAUCGGCUAACUCCGUGCCAUCAGCCGCGGUAAUACGUAGGGGGCAAGCGUUAUCCGGAAUGACUGGGCGUAAAGGGUGCGUAGGUGGUUUGACAAGUUAGUAGCGUAAUUCCGGGGCUCAACUUCGGAACUACUACUAAAACUGUUGGGCUUGAGUGCAGGAGAGGUGAAUGGAAUUCCUAGUGUAGCGGUGGAAUGCGUAGAUAUUAGGAGGAACACCAGCGGCGAAAGCGAUUCACUGGACUGUAACUGACACUGAGGCACGAAAGCGUGGGGAGCAAACAGGAUUAGAUACCCGUGUAGUC
rnacentral:rRNA from 1 species